rnacentral:rRNA from 1 species
UGAGGAAUUUUCCGCAAUGGGCGAAAGCCUGACGGAGCGACGCCGCGUGUGGGAUGAAGGCCUUCGGGUCGUAAACCACUGUCGAAGGGGAAGAUAUUGACGGUACCCUUGGAGGAAGCCCCGGCUAACUACGUGCCAGCAGCCGCGGUAAGACGUAGGGGGCGAGCGUUAUUCGGAAUUAUUGGGCGUAAAGAGUUCGUAGGCGGUUUGAAAAGUCCGUGAAGAAAGACCUGGGCUCAACUCAGGGAACGGCACGGAUACUUUUGAACUUGAGGCAAUCAGAGGGUGAUGGAAUUCCCGGUGUAGCGGUGAAAUGCGUAGAUAUCGGGAGGAACAUCAGUGGCGAAGGCGAUCACCUGGGGUUGAACUGACGCUGAGGAACGAAAGCUAGGGGAGCAAACGGG